GAAUCAUGUGAUGAGAAAAAACUGCAACAAUAUGAUGGAUUCGUUCCAUGAUUCUUAGUAUUUAAGUCUCUGAUGAUCAUUCACUAUUUUUCUUUCGAUAUGGUUCAUGAUUUAUUUUUCUUUUUUCAUAGAUUUUUCGUUUAAUUUGAAAAUAAAGAGAUAUGAUGAUGUUUACAUUGGUCCGUGUUUCUGAUUUACUGUGACCGACAACCUUUUCCAAUUUCUGAUCUCUGUUUCAAACAAUUUUUCAUAUUUUUUUGUUUAUGUUUGAGAUUAUGUGUUUCUGAAAUUAUAUGUAUAAUUGGCUCUGUGAUAUUCUGCCUUUGUUGCAGUAUACGCUAUUCUGAUUCAAAUUAUGAGCAGAUAUUUUAUUACUAUUGAGAGCUUAAACAUUUCAUUUGAUUUUUAAUUAUGAGUUUGUAUUGCUGUGAUGAAUUAAGAAAAAUUUCACAUGUCAGACUUCAGAGAUUUUUAUAAUCAAUGAGAAUGACAAUUCUUAAUUUCUGAGCUGGAU
rnacentral:lncRNA from 1 species